rnacentral:rRNA from 1 species
GACGAACGCUGGCGGCGUGCUUAACACAUGCAAGUCGAACGGAAAGGCCCUGCUCUUGUGGGGUGCUCGAGUGGCGAACGGGUGAGUAACACGUGAGUAACCUGCCCUUGACUUUGGGAUAACUUCAGGAAACUGGGGCUAAUACCGGAUAGGAGCUCCUGCUGCAUGGUGGGGGUUGGAAAGUUUUGGCGGUUGGGGAUGGACUCGCGGCUUAUCAGCUUGUUGGUGGGGUAGUGGCUUACAAAGGCUUUGACGGGUAGCCGGCCUGAGAGGGUGACCGGCCACAUUGGGACUGAGAUACGGCCCAGACUCCUACGGGAGGCAGCAGUGGGGAAUAUUGCACAAUGGGCGGAAGCCUGAUGCAGCAACGCCGCGUGCGUGAUGACGGCCUUCGGGUUGUAAACCGCUUUCGCCUGUGACGAAGCGUGAGUGACGGUAAUGGGUAAGGAAGCACCGGCUAACUACGUG